rnacentral:tRNA from 1 species
GAUAAGUUUAUAAAAAGCUGCUAACUUUUUAAUAGUUAAUAACUACUAGUAG